UCCCCUGUGGCUUAGCUGGUAAAGAAUCCACCUGCAACGUGGGAGACCUGGGUUCAAUCCCUGGAUUGGGAA
rnacentral:tRNA from 1 species